rnacentral:tRNA from 1 species
GCCGAGAUAGCUCAGCUGGUAGAGCAACCGCUUCGUAAGCGGUAGGUCGUGGGUUCGACUCCCAUUCUCGGCU